rnacentral:sRNA from 1 species
GGAAGCUUUUGAAAAGGAAUUCAACUACAAAAACCACUAAGGUUCCAACAAGGCCUCACAUGGCCAUUUGAAGCAUUAGUUGAGGCUAAAGUCAAGCAAAGAAUCAACAAGAUCGAUUCUGAGGCAAUUGGGACCUAGAUUGGGUGUCCACA